GUGGACUCUGUGGGUUUCUAAUGAAAAUUCCUUUGUAGCCUCACGGCAGGAUUUCCCACCAUUUUUCUUUUUCUGAUGAAAUUAACUCCCUGUGGUUGGUCAGCAGGAUAAUCUAAUUUUAGCCAAUCAGCUUGGGAGCUGCCAUUGACCUCACAAAGGGAGAGAACGUUACCUGCAGUCAUGGCAACGCGGAGCUCAGCUCUGAUCAUCUCUGGAUCCUUUGGAGUAAUGAAAGACACCGGCUUGCUUUUGAGAUGAUUAAUCUUUUCCCCUGUGAACCUACUUGAAUACAUUAGCAAAACAAGUAUGAUAAAUUUGUUUAUCCCAAGACAAUCAUUAGAAAAUUACCUGCAAAAGUAAUUCUCACUAGGGCUGGGGCUGUGAAUGGUGCACCAUAUGGCGGGGAGACCUGAGAUGAGCAGCCCAGCCCCUCCUUCACCCCCGCUGGCUGCAACAGGUUGGGGAAGUUGAUGAGUUUUCAGCUGUCAGACAAGCAUGUGGGGAAGAGAGAGUCACACAGACGUUGGAAGGACAAGAAAAUAGCACACAUGUCAACACACUAGUGAAGCUGAGAACAUUUACUGAAGCGAUUGAUCCCAUCCUGGGGUUUCCUGGAGGCAUCAUUUGCCUUAAGGAUUUCUCAUCUUUAAAGUGCGAGGCUUAAACUAGGACUUUGAAGGUCCUUUCUAGCACUAAAUCUAUAAACUUAAGAUAAAAUAUACAGGUAGUUUGCUAAGAGGAGACCUAUAAUGAAACCCCAU
rnacentral:lncRNA from 1 species